ACGAGUUAGGGUCUCUCAGGCCCGACCUCCCAACCCUUUGUUUACUGAACCUCUGUUGCUUCGGCGGACCCGUCUCACGACCGCCCGAGGACCGCCGAGAGGUGUCCUCUGGCCCGUGUCCGCCGAUAGCCAACCACUUACAACCCUGAGUAAAUCGUGUCAUUUGUCUAAGUCAUUGAUUAAAUAAAGCA
rnacentral:misc_RNA from 1 species